UGAGGAAGGAUUAGAUAGCAAUCUUGUUGUAAGUGCCCUCUUGGGCAAGAGUGACCAUAAUAUGGUUGAGUUCUUCAUUAGGAUGGAGAGUGACAUUGUUAAUUCAGAAACAAUGGUUCUGAACUUAAAGAAAGGCAACUUUGAGGGUAUGAGACGUGAAUUGGCCAUGAUUGACUGGCAAUUAAUUCUAAAAGGGUUGACGGUGGAUAUGCAAUGGAAGACAUUUAAAGACUGCAUGGAUGAACUACAAACAUUGUUCAUCCCAGUUUGGCAAAAGAAUAAAUCAGGGAAGGUAGUGCAUCCGUGGAUAACAAGGGAAAUCAGGGAUAGUAUCAAA